CAGGUCCAGGUCUCUUCACGCCCCUCUUCAGACGCCGCACCCAUUGUACUUAGUGCCAGUGUGAGCAGUGAUACCGUGGAUAUUGCAGAUCCCAGUUUGUCCCGCAUAGUCAUAUACGGAGAGGUUAGCCAAGGCUACACACCGGUAGUUGGCGCCACUGUAAUGGCUUAUGUUGAAACAAGUAGUGGGAGUACCCAAAUACCACUGCUUGAUAACGGGGCAGGCGCGGAUAAUACCAAGAACGACGGCAUCUACUCGGCAUAUUUCCUAAAAUUUGAAGGCAACGUGAAACAUUCUGUGCGAGUUGUGGUAAAAGGGGAAGACGGCGUCUCAGUUAAGACCGUGGCUGGUGGACAAAAAGCAUCACCCAUCA